CGCCUCGGUUGUCAAACAUGGCUGAAGCGCUGCCGCUGCCGCUACUGCCGCUGCAGGGAAAAUGCUGAGCCCUCCCGGGCCGGGUGGGCGGCGGCGGCGAGGGCGGCGACGGGGACCCGCUUCCCGAGCGCGGCGGCGGCGGCCAUGGCCCGGCUGGCUGACUACUUCAUCGUGGUAGGCUAUGACCACGAGAAGCCAGGAUCAGGAGAAGGUCUGGGGAAAAUAAUCCAGAGAUUUCCACAGAAGGACUGGGAUGAUACACCUUUUCCACAGGGAAUUGAGUUGUUUUGUCAGCCUGGCGGGUGGCAGCUGUCCAGAGAGAGGAAGCAGCCAACGUUCUUUGUGGUUGUCCUGACAGAUAUUGACUCAGAUCGACAUUACUGCUCAUGCCUAACCUUCUAUGAGGCAGAGAUCAAUCUUCAGGGAACAAAGAAGGAAGAGAUUGAAGGUGGAGCAGAAGUGUCUGGUUUAAUUCAGCCUGCGGAAGUGUUUGCUCCCAAAAGCCUGGUGUUGGUAUCCAGAUUAUAUUAUCCAGAAAUUUUUAGGGCUUGCCUGGGUUUGAUCUAUACCGUGUAUGUGGACAGCCUGAAUGUCUCCUUGGAAAGUCUAAUUGCAAACCUUUGUGCCUGCCUUGUCCCAGCGGCUGGAGGGUCUCAGAAGCUGUUUUCUUUGGGUGCAGGAGAUAGACAGUUGAUCCAGACUCCUUUACAUGAUAGUCUUCCUGUCACGGGCACUAGUGUGGCUCUCCUGUUCCAGCAAUUGGGAAUUCAAAAUGUCCUCAGCCUCUUUUGUGCAGUCCUCACAGAAAAUAAGGUUCUCUUCCAUUCUGCAAGUUUCCAGAGACUUAGUGAUGCUUGUAGAGCCCUGGAAUCUUUAAUGUUUCCUCUUAAAUAUAGUUAUCCUUAUAUCCCUAUUCUCCCGGCUCAGCUACUGGAAGUUCUAAGUUCCCCAACACCUUUCAUUAUUGGAGUACAUUCUGUCUUUAAAACUGAUAUCCAUGAACUUUUAGAUGUAAUCAUAGCAGAUUUGGAUGGAGGCACUAUUAAAAUUCCUGAAUGUAUUCACCUCUCUUCCCUCCCAGAACCACUUCUACAUCAGACUCAAUCAGCUCUUUCUUUGAUUUUACACCCAGAUUUGGAAGUAGCAGAUCAUGCUUUUCCUCCUCCACGAACAGCUUUAUCCCACUCAAAAAUGCUGGAUAAAGAGGUGCGAGCCGUUUUCCUUAGAUUAUUUGCACAACUCUUCCAAGGAUAUAGAUCCUGCCUGCAACUUAUAAGAAUUCAUGCAGAGCCAGUAAUACAUUUCCACAAGACAGCAUUCUUGGGGCAGCGUGGUUUGGUCGAGAAUGAUUUCCUCACUAAAGUACUCAGUGGAAUGGCAUUUGCAGGUUUUGUUUCAGAAAGAGGUCCUCCUUAUAGAUCUUGUGAUCUCUUUGAUGAGUUGGUAGCCUUUGAAGUAGAGAGAAUUAAAGUUGAAGAAAAUAACCCAGUGAAGAUGAUAAAGCAUGUCAGAGAACUUGCUGAGCAACUAUUCAAAAAUGAGAAUCCAAAUCCUCAUAUGGCAUUCCAGAAAGUUCCACGGCCAACAGAAGGAUCCCAUUUGCGAGUUCAUAUUCUUCCUUUCCCAAAGAUUAAUGAAGCCCGGGUUCAGGAAUUAAUACAGGAAAAUGUUGCUAAGAACCAGAAUGCACCUCCUGCCACACGAAUAGAAAAGAAAUGUGUUGUGCCAGCAGGUCCACCUGUUGUUUCGAUAAUGGACAAGGUGACGACAGUUUUCAACAGUGCACAAAGACUAGAAGUUGUCAGAAACUGUAUCUCAUUCAUAUUUGAAAAUAAAAUUUUGGAAACUGAAAAGACCCUUCCUGCUGCACUCAGAGCCCUUAAAGGAAAGGCAGCAAGACAGUGUCUCACUGAUGAAUUGGGUUUGCAUGUCCAGCAAAACCGGGCAAUAUUAGACCAUCAACAGUUUGACUACAUAAUAAGGAUGAUGAAUUGUACUCUACAGGAUUGUUCAAGUUUAGAAGAAUACAACAUUGCCGCAGCAUUACUCCCUUUGACCAGUGCUUUCUAUAGGAAACUUGCCCCUGGAGUCAGCCAGUUUGCUUACACGUGUGUACAAGACCACCCCAUUUGGACAAAUCAGCAAUUUUGGGAGACAACCUUUUACAAUGCAGUGCAGGAACAGGUUCGCUCCCUUUAUCUCUCAGCCAAGGAAGACAAUCAUGCCCUGCAUCUGAAGCAAAAGGAUAAGCUUCCUGAUGACCAUUAUCAGGAGAAGACAGCAAUGGACCUGGCAGCUGAGCAACUACGCCUUUGGCCUACCCUGAGCAAGUCAACUCAGCAAGAGCUAGUGCAACAUGAGGAAAGCACUGUCUUUAGUCAGGCCAUUCACUUUGCAAACCUCAUGGUGAACCUGCUAGUUCCACUCGACACAAGUAAAAACAAGCUCCUAAGAACAUCAGCGCCAGGUGACUGGGAGAGCGGAAGCAACAGCAUUGUCACAAACAGUAUUGCAGGAAGUGUAGCUGAGAGCUAUGAUACAGAGAGUGGGUUUGAAGAUUCAGAGAAUAAUGACAUUGCCAAUUCUGUUGUGCGGUUCAUUACCCGAUUUAUUGACAAAGUUUGUACAGAGAGUGGAGUUACUCAGGAUCACAUCAAGAGCCUUCAUUGCAUGAUACCAGGAAUUGUAGCUAUGCACAUUGAGACCCUAGAAGCAGUACAUCGAGAAAGCAGAAGACUUCCGCCUAUUCAGAAGCCCAAGAUUCUUAGACCUGCUCUGCUGCCAGGAGAAGAAAUUGUCUGUGAGGGUCUUCGAGUCUUGCUGGAUCCUGAUGGAAGAGAAGAAGCUACUGGAGGUCUUCUCGGAGGCCCUCAGCUCCUGCCAGCAGAAGGAGCCUUGUUCCUCACCACAUACAGGAUUCUCUUCAGAGGAACACCCCAUGAUCAGUUAGUGGGUGAGCAGACAGUUGUGCGGAGCUUUCCCAUUGCCUCCAUCACCAAGGAGAAGAAGAUUACAAUGCAGAACCAGCUACAGCAGAACAUGCAAGAAGGACUGCAGAUCACAUCAGCAUCUUUUCAGUUGAUUAAGGUAGCAUUUGAUGAAGAAGUCAGUCCAGAAGUAGUAGAGAUCUUUAAGAAACAGCUGAUGAAGUUCCGUUAUCCUCAGUCCAUUUUCAGUACCUUUGCUUUUGCUGCUGGACAAACUACCCCACAAAUAAUUUUACCAAAACAGAAGGAAAAGAACACUUCUUUUCGUACCUUCUCAAAAACAAUUGUGAAAGGUGCCAAAAGGGCAGGGAAAAUGACAAUUGGGCGGCAAUAUUUACUGAAGAAGAAGACAGGGACAAUUGUGGAAGAAAGAGUAAAUCGUCCUGGAUGGAAUGAAGAUGAUGAUGUAUCUGUUUCAGAUGAGAGUGAGCUCCCCACAAGUACCACCCUGAAGGCCUCCGAGAAGUCUACAAUGGAACAGUUGGUGGAAAAAGCUUGUUUCAGAGACUAUCAUCGUUUAGGUUUAGGAACCAUAAGUGGCAGUUCUUCCCGUUCAAGACCCGAGUAUUUUCGAAUUACUGCCUCCAACAGGAUGUAUUCACUCUGCCGGAGCUAUCCUGGCCUUUUAGUCGUACCUCAAGCUGUACAGGACAGUAGUUUACCAAGAGUAGCUCGCUGCUAUCGACACAAUCGCCUGCCUGUUGUAUGUUGGAAGAACUCAAGAAGUGGUACUCUGCUCCUCCGAUCUGGAGGAUUCCAUGGGAAGGGAGUCGUUGGUCUUUUCAAAUCUCAGAACUCCCCUCAGGCCGCUCCUACCUCCUCUUUAGAAUCUUCCAGUAGCAUAGAACAAGAGAAAUACUUGCAAGCCUUACUGAAUGCUGUUUCUGUCCAUCAGAAACUCAGAGGCAACAGCACUCUUACUGUCAGGCCAGCCUUUGCUCUAUCUCCAGGGACUGAAAGGAGGACUUCAAGAAUGUCCACUGUGCUUAAGCAGGUAGUGCCAGGACAUUUGGAUGUAAACCCAUCCAAUAGCUUUGCUCAAGGAGUGCAUGGGUACAGAGAUAAAUGUUUUACUCAGUCAAAUCCCAAAUCUUCAGCUAAGGGAAGAGUCCAUAAUCAAGGUGUGUGGGCAAGUCUUCGCUCUAGCACUCGCUUGAUCAGCUCUCCAACAUCCUUCAUUGAUGUUGGCGCCCGGCUGGCAGGCAAGGAUCACUCGGCCUCCUUCAGUAACAGCACCUACCUACAAAACCAGCUCUUGAAACGGCAAGCAGCCCUUUACAUAUUUGGUGAAAAGUCGCAACUAAGGAACUUCAAGGUAGAAUUUGCUUUAAAUUGUGAGUUUGUUCCUGUUGAAUUUCAUGAAAUCCGGCAAGUGAAAGCCAGUUUUAAGAAGCUGAUGAGGGCUUGUAUCCCAAGCACCAUCCCUACUGACUCAGAAGUGACCUUCCUGAAAGCACUGGGAGAUUCUGAGUGGUUCCCACAGCUUCACAGGAUAAUGCAGCUGGCUGUGGUUGUAUCAGAAGUACUUGAGAAUGGUUCCUCAGUUUUGGUCUGUUUGGAGGAAGGCUGGGACAUCACUGCACAAGUGACAUCCCUGGUUCAGUUACUCAGUGAUCCCUUUUAUAGGACACUUGAAGGCUUCCGGAUGUUGGUUGAAAAAGAGUGGCUCUCUUUUGGUCACAAAUUCAGUCAGAGGAGCAGCUUGACCCUCAACUGUCAGGGGAGUGGUUUUGCUCCAGUCUUCUUACAGUUCUUAGACUGUGUACACCAGGUUCACAACCAGUAUCCAACUGAGUUUGAAUUCAAUCUCUAUUACUUAAAGUUCUUGGCUUUCCACUAUGUGUCUAAUCGCUUUAAAACAUUUCUCCUGGAUUCAGACUAUGAAAGAUUAGAGCACGGAACUUUAUUUGAUGAUAAAGGAGAAAAGCAUGCCAAAAAGGGAGUCUGUAUUUGGGAAUGUAUUGACAGAAUGCACAAGAGGAGUCCCAUUUUCUUUAAUUAUUUAUAUUCACCAUUGGAAAUAGAGGCUCUAAAGCCCAAUGUAAAUGUCUCCAGCCUCAAGAAGUGGGAUUACUACAUAGAAGAGACCCUGUCCACAGGCCCUUCCUAUGACUGGAUGAUGCUAACCCCCAAGCACUUCCCCUCCGAAGACUCUGACCUGGCUGGAGAAGCUGGGCCACGGAGCCAGAGGAGAACAGUGUGGCCAUGCUAUGAUGAUGUCAGCUGUACUCAGCCCGAUGCUCUCACCAGCCUUUUCAGUGAAAUUGAAAAAUUGGAGCACAAAUUGAACCAAGCCCCUGAGAAGUGGCAGCAGCUGUGGGAAAGGGUAACCGUGGACCUUAAAGAAGAACCAAGAACAGAUCGCAAACAUUUAUCAAGCACAUAAUAUGUGGAAGGGUCUGUGCUUAGUACAGUACACACCUUCGUAUCCUAUUUAAUCCACUGUGAGGGAAUGGCGUUCCCUCUCCUACACAAGGAACAGGCACAGAGAGCAUACAGCGGCAACUGGUAGAGCCACCAAUCGAACCCACAUCAGACUGGCUCCAAAUGCAACAGAAGGGAAAUUAGGACAGAUGAGUGUUCUGAAGAACAGUUCAGGAAGAAGAGGCCAGCAGGUCAGAUGUUACAGAAAGGUCAAGAAGAAUGGAGGGUAGAAGAAAACCUUUGUGGUAAAAAAAGAACAUCUGGGGCUCUAUCUCUUACCCUCAAAUAGCAAUUCAGGAGCUGUUAUCAGACAGACAACAGUCCCAAAGACACCUGUCGAGAUCCCCAGGAAUUGUGUCUACCAACCUACCUUCCUAUCAGAAGAGGUCUCUGCUACAUCUCCCAGACAGCAGCAUGGGGGAGGAACACAAUUCCAGCAUCUCCCCAUCCAAUGGAGUGGAGCGAAGAGCAGCCACACUCUAUAGCCAGUAUACAUCCAAGAAUGAUGAAAACAGGUCCUUUGAGGGAACGCUUUAUAAAAGAGGGGCUUUGCUGAAAGGUUGGAAGCCCCGUUGGUUUGUUUUGGAUGUAACAAAACAUCAGCUGCGCUACUAUGACUCAGGUGAGGACACAAGCUGUAAAGGCCACAUUGAUCUGGCUGAAGUAGAAAUGGUCAUCCCUGCUGGCCCCAGCAUGGGAGCCCCAAAGCACACAAGUGACAAGGCUUUCUUUGAUCUCAAGACCAGCAAACGUGUGUAUAACUUCUGCGCCCAGGAUGGACAGAGUGCCCAGCAAUGGAUGGACAAAAUCCAGAGUUGUAUCUCUGAUGCCUGAUGCCCAUGGUCAACCCACGCAGAAGAAACAGAAGAACUCAUGCUGCCAGAUAGAAAAAGAAGCAUGGAUCCUUGAGGAGCUGACAACAAGUUAUCCCGGGGCCUGAGGUUCUCCUGCCCAGUCCCCUCUUGCAGGGGUUGCUAUAUCUACUUAACCUGAACAGGUGUUUCACACAGGUCUGGUCAACAGCCCCAUGCACUCCCUGUAUCUUGCACUAAAUUUUUCUAACAGGGUCUUAGUGGUUAAUGAUCAGAAGAUGUCUCCUGAGCCAACUGUGAACCUCACCCAGGCAAAAUGGCUACCACCUACUUGCGUCCUUCUUCAUGAAAGCUAUAGAUCCUUUUUUGUUCUCUGAGGUCAUAAUUUCCUUGGAGACCUGUUUAACAAGCAAAAAUCAAAACCCUCCAAGAUUGUCUCAUAUUCUACCUGGAUUAGGUUUCCUAUGAGAGACAUCUACUUGUAAUGCCUGACCUUUGAGAUGCUCAGUUCUCUGGUGCUGCCAAAAGAUGCUUCCAUGGUCCGUGCUCUGCCAGUGGGGUUCACAACAAGAGACGUCAUUGUUCAGUAGCAGGCAAAGAGGGAGCACACAGCAUUAUUCUGAUGGAAAAAGAUUAUCCAGGGAAUGGUACAACAAUGACCAGCCCAAUGCAGGAAAACACUACUUCCAAAACACUGAAUUCUCUAGACCAGAGGUGCUCUGAGGAUCCAGAGCCUUGUGUUCUUAUGUAUCUUCUGCUUCCUGACAGUUUCUUUUUCAAAAUAACAUGCAAAAAAAGCUGAAUGCACUAACUCACAAAACAAACACUUGCACUGAAUUCCCAAUGAAGUGAAGAUGUUGGAAAGACAGAGGCCAGCUAUUUAGGACCAUACGCACCUGUGACAAGGGCUGUGUUGACCACAGUCACACUGUGGCAUGACUGGAUACCCAAACUACACUUCUACACAUGAAAAGUAAGAACUGUCUUUAGAUUUUCUUUACUUUGAUAACUUGUGAUUGUUUAGCUUAAGACCCAAGAAAUGCUGUUUGCUCAUGGUAAACAAACAGAAACAGCAUCUUCGCUACAACCACUGACACCAGCUGGCGUCAUAGGUAGCUAGAUCAUUGCAUUUGUUUUGAAAUGUUAAUAUGUUAAAUACUAAACUAAUAUUUCAAAAAUGUGUAUAUAUGAUUUCUAUAUCCUUGUUUUUCAGAUAGCCUGCUUAUAAUUUAAUAUAAAUUAACUGAUGCAUUCAUAAGAUUUCAAUAAUGAAAUGGUUCCCUUUUAAAAAAUAAAAAUACUUUGUAGAUUAAAAAUAAAUCAGAAUUUCAAAUUUAAAAUUGUCUACACACUAGGAAAUAGAACUGUGUUAAUAUAUAAGAAAUUCGGGGAUAAUUAAGAAUGAAGGACUUUUCUAUCAUUUCCAUUUUAUAAAUUGCCACCUGUGAAAAUGGUUUUUGCACAUUAUUUGUAUUUUUCUUUGUAUAUGAAAUAAUUUUUUGUACUUUGUAAAAUAUGGAGCCCAUUGUACCUUCAGCUAUUUGAGACUAUACACAGUGCUUCUUUUGUAACUGGAUUACUUUAACUUUCGUGAAGGCAUUACAUUGCCUCACAUUCACUAACCACCUUGAAUUAAAUUUAUUUCUUAAGAAAAAGCA